UGGGUCAGACCUCUGAAGACUUCUCAGAUG
rnacentral:piRNA from 1 species